CCUACGGGUGGCAGCAGUGAGGAAUAUUGGUCAAUGGACAAGAGUCUGAACCAGCCAAGUAGCGUGAAGGAUGACUGCCCUAUGGGUUGUAAACUUCUUUUAUAUGGGAAUAAAAUGUUCCACGUGUGGGAUUUUGUAUGUACCAUAUGAAUAAGGAUCGGCUAACUCCGUGCCAGCAGCCGCGGUAAUACGGAGGAUCCGAGCGUUAUCCGGAUUUAUUGGGUUUAAAGGGAGCGUAGGUGGAUUGUUAAGUCAGUUGUGAAAGUUUGCGGCUCAACCGUAAAAUUGCAGUUGAAACUGGCAGUCUUGAGUACAGUAGAGGUGGGCGGAAUUCGUGGUGUAGCGGUGAAAUGCUUAGAUAUCACGAAGAACUCCGAUGGCGAAGGCAGUUCACUGGACUGCAACUGACACUGAGGCUCGAAAGUGUGGGUAUCAAACAGGAUUAGAUACCCUAGUAGUC
rnacentral:rRNA from 1 species